CACCCCCUCCCCGUCGCCCCCGCGCGCCCAGGUGGCGUUGGCGGGAGCGGCGCGCGCGACGUGAAGGGGGGGGGGGUGGCUCGCGCCGCCGCCUGAGGGCGAGGAGCGGCGGGAGCCGCAGGAGGGUCCGAGGGCACCGCCUUAGAGCCGCGCUAGAGCGCGGCAGGCGCCGGCCCCCGCCACCGGCGACAGGGUCGGUGUUCGGCCACCGCGGUGCGGGGCCCGCGGGGCGGCUGCUGAGUGAGCGACACGUCGGCGUGCGCAGCGCAGCGCUGCGGGGCGGCGGCGCUGCCCGCUCGGGUGGCGCCGGGCCGCUCCGUGCGGCGGAGGCGGCUCGGGGGGCUGCCUGGGGCUGGAGGUGGUGCGUGUAGCUGGGCUCAGGAGGAAGACGCCUGCCGAGAAAUCAAAGCCCUGGAAGCGAAUGAAGCCCUUGUACACCUCUCGCUUCAGCGUGUUCCGAAGCAGCGCGGACCAUCCAUCUCAUGGGGGGACAGGGAAGAGCCGCUCUGUGGGUGUGUGACAGGGCCCCGGCAGUGUAAGCCCGGCUCAGCGGCUCUCCCUGCGGCUGGAAUGUGGUGCAGGGCGUGCUUCGGGCUUGAGAAACGCUGUUACUCCACGUAACUCCGCGGUGCUGAAGCAUCCCUGCCCAAUACCAGCUUUGGGAGUAAUUCACGAUCAUGUAGCUAGCUUGGAAAACUCAAAUGUUUUCGCAAAGGACAGGGGACUAAACCCAGUGGGAAACAACAUUAAGGAUACCUGGCAUUUUCAUGAAGGCCCGAGUUUUCAACACCCUUUGUAAUGAUUAGGUGUUUAAUCUUCUGCCCUCUGAGCAGUUCAGUAAUGACUACCUCUGUGAGGAAACAGGAUAAAGUUCUUGCUAGUUAAAGACCUGCAAUUAAAAUACUUAUCACUAUUCUCCUUAACCUUGCUGGCUCUAUUUAUUACAUGUCUAAGUAAACACUAUUAAGAAAGUCCUUUAUCUGAACAAGUCACAGCUUGAUUGUGGUUAACAACAGUUUUUAUUACAGAAUUAUAACAUGUUUAAAUUGUCUGGGCACAGCUGUGGUGCACAUGAGAAAAAGACAGUCACAGUCUUAUCUCUGUAUUUCCUUCCCUCUUGAGUUUAAUACAGAUUUUUCCAGGUCAUCUUAAUGUGUUCUCUUAACUUCCUUUGUAUUUCAGUGAUGGGUUCACAGAACAGAAACAAGCGGUGAGAGGUGUGAAGUACUUUUACCCAUCUUUCUAGAAAGAUCUUGCCUCUGAAGUCACACAGAAUGGCUUGAUCAUUCUACGUGUUUCUUUGAAAACCUGUGGUUUCCCACUGCAUGGAUGUGGUGGUGUGUUACAUCCUGGCAGGAAUACUUUAAAAAAUCAGCGUGGCAACUCCAGCCGUUCCUUCUAAUCUUCAUUUUUUUCUGUUCUGGAUGCCUUCUUAAGAGAUUAUACUGCUACCUGGGCUUGGCUGGGACACCUUGGCUUAGUCCUGUGAGCCGUGGUGGCUAUUUUUGGUCCCCAGAUAAGAGCUGGGAACCAAGAGGAAUUUCAGGAAUCCUCCCUAAGGAAAUGAAAUAAUUUAAAAGACCAUGUUUAUAAGAGUUGUACUUGAAAGAAUCUAAAUGCUAGAAAACAGACAAACACUAAAUAAAUCUGGAUGAGACCGUUUCCAAACCUCUCAAAUGCUGUUACAGUGCUGUUAGCUUGACCUGCUGAAGAAAUGCCAGAAAAGUUUCUCCUCUAUGACUUUUCCCAGUUCCUUCCUUGCCUGACUGGUUUGCCGAGACAAGAAGUCUGUCCGGUACAGUGUAAGAGUUACACAACUGAUAAAUGGUCUCCAAAAGUCUCUCAGCAUUGCUGUGCUGCUUCUGCUGUUCUUUACCUGUGCUUCUCAGUGGUUAUUUAGGUGUGAACAAAUUUGUUUUGAUCUCAUUGACAGCCAGCCGUCGUAGAUCCUGAUCCAUGAUUCAGUAGCUGGGAUGUAGCUUAAUGUAUAUAAUUGCAGGUGUCAGGGGAGUAAUUGCAGCAAUAUGAUUAAAGGAGUGAAAGUUGGGCACUGUGGGUUAUCUGUGGGGAAAAAGCCUCAGAAUGUUUCAAAUUUUGAAAUCCACAUGCAGCUGGUUCACUCACAGAUUUUUGAUCUGAAGAGCAAACACAGUGGUAAUAAUGUUUACAUAUGACAGUUUCCCAUAAAGUGCUUAGUAAGCCCUGACAAAAUGUAUGAAAGAAGUUUCUAAUUACAGACGUUAUAGCUUUGGAUGCUCUUGAGUAAUUACUUCAUUUUACAGGGUUUUUUUUUAUUCCCUGAGAAAAUUCAACCUAGAAAGUGGAUAAAUCAUCACUGCAUUCACAUGCAGCCUCACCUUGUUCUGCUUCCUCAUCUUCUGGAUAACUUAUCCAUUAGGAGGUGAACGCCUUGACUCAGAGUGAUGCUGUUCACUUUUACUUUUCAAACACUGCUUAUUGCAGCCUCUGGAAAGAAGACAACUCAGGGAAGAGCACAAGGAGAGCCCAGCUUUAAGGACAGAAAUUGAACUCUGAUGCCAGCUGCUCUCAUGGCUGAGGCCUAUUUUCCAUUGAUUUUGAAGCUGAAGAGACAUCUCUUAUCGUGCAGGGACAGGCUGCGUUCAGGAUGGAAUAGGAGGUGGACUGUGUGUGAAGGAAUGCAGGGAUUUCUGAGUAAAUUUGGAGUCACAGAACAAUCAAUCAGCUCCAUUGAUCUGGAGCAUUUUUAAACCCGGCUUAAUGUAUGGGAUGCACUGACAAUUUUGUUUUAAGCUGAUACAGCUUGGAAACACUGACGAGGUCAAUGCAAUGCUUGCUGCCUUAUUUCAGGAUAGUACCUGCCUGAAUUCCUUUGCACAUAUUUAUUUCAAGUUCUACAUGUAGACCUAUGAAAAAUCAUUUAAUAUCAUGUCUUAUAAUGAAGGACUGCUGAAUUGCUCAGGAAUUUCACUUAAAAAAUUGAAAAUGAAGCAACAGUCACAUAACAUAACAAAAUUCACCUCACCAACAGUCACAUAACAAAAUUCAUUUUGGCCCACUGUGGAAGUUUGGGCUAGGAGAGAGUUAAUAUUCUUCAGACUUAUUGGUCUAGGGCUCAAUUUUUCACUGGUAAAAAAAUCAACUUAUUUCUUAGUCUUUACAAAUGGUGUUUUUCAUUUUAACUCUCUCUUGGGGUUAUCCUUGUAAAAUGCCGUUGUGUUUGCAUGUGCAUACUGCUUCAUAGGAUCAAAGUGAAGGAGCCUGUGUCUCAGGCCAACAUCCUUUUUUUUUUCAGCCCUAUCUGUUACAGUGUUGGUUUUUCCUGGAGAGAUCGGCUUCUGUAAAGGGCAAAAGCCAUUUGAGCUUACACAGAAGUUUAUGGCCUCUCUUCCAUCUCAAAGUCCUCCUCAUUAUCGAGGAGGGAGAAUGUUUUGCAGGUACUCAGAGAAUGGAAGGGCCUGUUAGGAGGCUGCCUCUGCUAAAGGCAGCAAGGGACUGUAUCUCAUUCCCAGUGACAUUGCUGUGGAGAUGCACAAGAGGAACACCAAAUUCCAAACUUGCAGCAGGUGCUGCAGGAACAAAGGAUAAACUCUGACAAUGGCAUGAGGAAAAAUGAGGGAAGAAGGCACUUGCUAGAAGGGCAUCAAAGAGUUUCCAGCAUGUAAAGUUUAUGUGCAGAUACGAAUUCUGUAAAGACUAAUUACGAGGUCCCUGAGCAAUAACUUGUGUAGUGUAGCACAUAAAAGUUAUGACAGUGCAUUUAUAGAGUUUAUUUUCACAGAUUUCACUUUAGCUUUGGUCUGCCAAACUGCACUAGGUAGUAAAAACCAGGGUUUUGUCAGCUGACAGGUUUGAUGGCCUUGCUCUUAAAUAUUUCCUUUUAAAUGUUUUUAGUAUUAAUUAAGUUGUUUGUUUAGACAUUUUUGUUCACUUAAAGAAAUGGCCAUCAUGCCAUUUUCAGAAUUUUUGAAGACAAUUAAAACAACUAACAUCUAAGAUCAUCUAUAACAGCAUUCUGUGCUCACAGAAAAGCACACACCAGGAUUUAUGUGUAAUUUGACAUGCCAUCUAUAAAAGCAAUCAACCCUAUGGAAACCUUACAAUGAUUCUGGUGCCAUAAAGCUGAAAUUUAUGGCCAUCUAACCUAAAGCUUGUUAAAGAAUAAGCACCACAGGCCUCUAUAAAGCCUCAUAACAUGCAGGCAUGGUCGUUCCAAACCAUUUUUCUAGCACCAAACCACCCUAUCUGUCAGCCAUAAACUACUCCCUAAAAUGGCCUCAUCUGAAUACACGUAGUCGUUCUAAUUUUAGUGUUCCUGAUUUCUUUUCAAAAGCAUGGAUUCUUCCCAAAAGUGUGAGUCAGCUCAAACCAACUCCUAGCAAAAAGUUUACAAGAUCCAAACUUUGUCAGAGUCCUCACUUUCAGUUUCUCAAGGGAAGGUGCAAAGUGAAGUAGGCUACAAACAAGUGUGAACUGUUGAUAGCAUGAAAGGACGUGUUGUCCUGCCUGCCAAACCCGUGUUCUGUUUCAGCAGUGGCUGAGACAAUAGCUGAUUUUUCUCUGCAGGUCUCACAUUGUCUGGGACUUGCUCCUAAAGUAAUGUCAGGAGAAGGUAGAUGAGGUUGACCCAAGUAUGUUAACAACUGCUGAUUCACUGCAAGCAAUGCCACUGGUUCUGAGCAAGGCUCCGGUUUGUCCUUUCAGUGCUUGGCACUGGAAAAUAGUGCUGUUGACAUAGGUGUCACCAAAUUCCUCAAGACAUUCAGGACUGGACUUAUAGUUCUUCUAGUGUUAAAACCUCUGGGGGAAAAAGUUAAGUCCAGCUUUUUCUGGGGAGGAGUACUUCCUAUGGUAGCUGAUGUAUUACAAGCCUUAUUUGAGAAGAGACAACCAUGUCCUUUUGGGAGUAAUCUAGAUCCUGUGAUGAGAGGAGUGUAAUUAUGUGCAUAUAAUAAAUACAUUAAGUAUUUAAUAUUUAAAUAUUUAAAUGUUUGAAGGACAACUGGAAAGAAGAGGAACAUAUUUUUUGUGUUUUGUUAUGUUUUCUUGACUGUACGUGUUAGUCUGAGAAUAUUCAAGGCUAUAUUCAGAGUUUCUAAUUCACAAGUGAGGUACACUUGAUAUCUAGAUAUCAUUGGUUACUAAAACCUUUUUGCAAGUAAGUAAAUAAUACUGAGAAAUUAAAAUAGGAGCCCUUGUCCUGUGUCCUGCACUCACCUAGCAGGCCUUUGUGUGACUAAUGAAGACACUGGAAAAGCAAGUUUAGUGUGUGUAUAUCCAUCUGUUAUCUCUGUACCCCUAUGUCUUCCUUUUUUUGAGUAAUGACCAAGACUAGGCUGAAACUGAGUGAGAAAUCCAUGUUCCAAAGAGGCAAUGCAAUAUUAUAAUUUAACAAUCAGAUUGUUAGAAUUGGAAGCAUUCAAUGGACAGACAUUAGGCAGAAACAGCCUGGACAGAGUCAGAGACGUUGUCUUUAACACAGGUAAGGAUUUGGGAACUUUGCUGUUAUAAUCUGAGUUUGAUGCAGACUUGAAGAAGUAAUCUCAAAGCCUAAACUCUUCCUCCAAUGGUAACAGCAACCAUGUACUUGUAGUAAUUUGUGCUGAAAAGGGAUUCAAGUAUGUGAGUUAAUUUCUGUACAGACCGUAAAGGUACAAAAUCAUGUACACCAGUGUCAUGAAAAGGAUAUUGGUACUCUGGAGAGCAUGAUUUGCCCUACUCGAAGAACCAUUAUGCUAUAGUAGACUCAUUCCACAAAGUAAUUGUUAGGGAGAUUUAAAUUUUUUUUCAAAUAUCUGUAUUCUUUAUUUGUGACCAUCAUAAAGUAAUUAAAACUCAAUUAAUAUGUAGAAGAAAAUAAAGCAAUGUAAGGCUGUUGUUCUGCAGUAAGUCAUAUAAAAUUUGUGAAUGUGGGAUUUCCUGGCAGUUGAAAUUUGAUCUGUAUUGGUGUGAGCACAGGACUGCAUUUUUACCAAAUGAGCCAGAACAUAUGUUACAUUGUUUAUUCAGGGUUUAUGCCAGCUUUCUGUCAGCUGAGCUGGAUAAAUUAUGCUUGAUCCAGCACAAAGUUAGAGUGGUCCAAACAGACAGUAUCUCAUCAGGUAGGACCUCUCCUGGGACAAAAUUAUUUCUUCAAGCUAUUUACAAUCACACAGAAUGAUAACCUACCACCCUAAUAUGCUAUAAACCUUGCAUAAACCUUAGAAAAAUUUGUUUCAAGUCAAAGCAUGUCUAUAACUGAUUAGCUGUAAAUAGACUGACAAUUUUUUCCUCAGAGGGAAACAAGAGGAAAGUCACAAAUACACAUUAUAUUUUACACCUUAGGCAAGUACAGAAAUAUUCCAGAAUAUGAUUUGUAUAGAAAUUUUGAGUGUACUCAUGUGUAAAUGUAAAUAAUGAGGUGGGGAAAAAAUGAGUCACUGUGAUAGUUAGAAACAUAAUUCUUGAAAUUAUUUCGUUAGGUUUGGGCUCAUGUUGUGAAAGAAAAAGGAUUUGAUUAUAUAUGUCCCACCGUGUUUCAUCUUUUAAAUAUGCAGCUUCCAUGUCCUAUUAUGAAUCCUUGGCAUUUCAUUCUGAAGCUGAAUUGUCAGGACAAUAGUUGUGGGAAGUAAAAAUAGCAAACCAGAACAUUAUAGAGUGAACCCAAUGAUUUUUGAGAUCUCCUAAGCUGGAGGGCUGAAUCCAUCGGUAAGUGUAUGCAGGUUUUACCAAUUUGGAUAUAAAAUUGGCUGGGGUCCUGUAAGACUUUUGUUGGGAUUUUGUUAAUUUUCAUUUAAAUUUCAUUAGAACUUAUUAACUUAUUUUUGUCACUGCACCAUUGUCAGUCUUUGGCCAGGAGUUGUGACUGACUGCAGUGCAACAUUCAAUGACAGCUUAGCAUUGUUCAGACCACCCUGGCUACCUUUUUCUGUGCUGCAGCCUUUACUGGGCUGGAACAGCAGUUUUCUG